CUGGGCGUAAAGCGGGCGCAGACGGUUACUUAAGCAGGAUGUGAAAUCCCCGGGCUCAACCUGGGAACUGCGUUCUGAACUGGGUGACUAGAGUGUGUCAGAGGGAGGUAGAAUUCCACGUGUAGCAGUGAAAUGCGUAGAGAUGUGGAGGAAUACCGAUGGCGAAGGCAGCCUCCUGGGAUAACACUGACGUUCAUGCCCGAAAGCGUGGGUAGCAAACAGGAUUAGAUACCCUGGUAGUCCACGCCCUAAACGAUGUCGAUUAGCUGUUGGGCAGCAUGACUGCUUAGUAGCGAAGCUAACGCGUGAAAUCGACCGCCUGGGGAGUACGGUCGCAAGAUUAAAACUCAAAGGAAUUGACGGGGACCCGCACAAGCGGUGGAUGAUGUGGAUUAAUUCGAUGCAACGCGAAGAACCUUACCUGGUCUUGACAUGUACGGAACCCUCCAGAGACGGAGGGGUGCCUUCGGGAGCCGUAACACAGGUGCUGCAUGGCUGUCGUCAGCUCGUGUCGUGAG
rnacentral:rRNA from 1 species